GGGGUCGAGCUGUCACUCAAGGAGUGGAGCCCGGAUCCCGGGCCCGGACGAGGCGGCUGCACCUUGAUUUAAAGAUUAUGGAGGAUCCUCUAGUAUCUUUGCCUUGAUCUCUCGCCCUCUCGCACCCUCGCACCCGGCGUAAUGUGGGCAGCACCGUCCGUCGCCGGACAAUGACGACUGUGCAAAAAUAACAACGCAGCAGAAUUGUUACUACACUGGCAAGGAGGAGUGGAGUUUACGCAUUCAAUGUUAAAAACAAAUCUUCCAGUCG